rnacentral:tRNA from 2 species
ACUAAAAUAGCUUAAAUUAAAGCGUAAUAUUGAAGAUAUUAAUAUGAAUAAUUAAUUCUUUUAGUA